AUUGAACGCUGGCGGAAUGCUUUACACAUGCAAGUCGAGCGGCAGCGCGGGGCAACCUGGCGGCGAGCGGCGAACGGGUGAGUAACAUAUCGGAACGUACCCAGUCGUGGGGGAUAACUAUCCGAAAGGAUAGCUAAUACCGCAUACGACCUGAGGGUGAAAGGGGGGAGUCGCAAGAACCUCUCGCGAUUGGAGCGGCCGAUAUCGGAUUAGCUAGUUGGUGAGGUAAAGGCUCACCAAGGCGGCGAUCCGUAGCUGGUCUGAGAGGACGAUCAGCCACACUGGCACUGACACACGGGCCAGACUCCUACGGGAGGCAGCAGUGAGGAAUAUUGGGCAAUGGGCGAAAGACCUGACCCAGCAACG
rnacentral:rRNA from 1 species